AUACGUAGGUGGCAAGCGUUGUCCGGAUUUAUUGGGCGUAAAGCGAGCGCAGGCGGUUUCUUAAGUCGGAUGUGAAAGCCCCCGGCUCAACCGGGGAGGGGCAUUGGAAACUGGGAGACUAGAGUGCAGAAGAGGAGAGUGGAAUUCCAUGUGUAGCGGUGAAAUGCGUAGAGAUAUGGAGGAACACCAGUGGCGAAGGCGGCUCUCUGGUCUAUAACUGACGCUGAGGCUCGAAAGCGUGGGGAGCGAACAGGAUUAGAUACCCUGGUAGUCCACGCCGUAAACGAUGAGUGCUAAGUGUUGGUGGGUUUCCGCCCUUCAGUGCUGCCGCUAACGCAUUAAGCACUCCGCCUGGGGAGUACGACCGCAAGGUUGAA
rnacentral:rRNA from 1 species